AGAUCACCUGAGCCCAGGAGGCAGUUGCAGUGAGCCAAGAUUGCACCACUGCACUCCAGCCUGGGUGACAGAG
rnacentral:snRNA from 1 species